UACGGAGGGUGCAAACGUUGCUCGGAAUCAUUGGGCGUAAAGCGCACGUAGGCGGCUCGUUAAGUCGGAUGUGAAAGCCCCGGGCUCAACCCGGGAAGUGCAUUCGAAACUGGCGAGCUUGAAUAUGGAAGAGGGUCGCGGAAUUCCCGGUGUAGAGGUGAAAUUCGUAGAUAUCGGGAAGGAACACCAGUGGCGAAGGCGGCGACCUGGGCCAAUAGU
rnacentral:rRNA from 1 species